UACAGAGGGUGCUAGCGUUGUUCGGAAUCACUGGGCGUAAAGGGCGUGUAGGCGGGACGGUAAGUCGGGCGUGAAAUCCCUAGGCUCAACCUAGGAACUGCACUCGAAACUACCAUUCUUGAGUGUCGGAGAGGAAAGCGGAAUUCCUGGUGUAGAGGUGAAAUUCGUAGAUAUCAGGAGGAACACCAGUGGCGAAGGCGGCUUUCUGGACGAUAACUGACGCUGAGACGUGAAAGCGUGGGGAGCAAACAGG
rnacentral:rRNA from 1 species